rnacentral:misc_RNA from 1 species
AUAAAAUGACAAAGCAGUCGGUAUUGCAUUGGUUUACCUUUAUCUCCCUUCAACUCUUCUUUGCUUUCUCUGCUUAAAGAAGCAAGCAUCAUCUCCCUUUCCUGGUUUGUUGAAAACCUUUUGGCCAAGAGGAAACUCACACGAGAAAACGAAAGAAAAAGAAAAACUCGGUUUUCGCUUUCCAGUAAGAUUAUUAGCUUUGUGGGUUUUUGUUUGCUGAUAUCAUGGAGAGAGAUUUUCUGGGUCUUGGUUCCAAAAAUGUUCCCGUUACUGUCAAAAAGGAGCUUACUGAUGGCUAUAAGGAUUCGGUUCCAAUGAGAGGUUCAGCAAUGCAGUGGUCUUUCUUGAAGAAGGUUUCUGCCAUUCCUCAAUUUUUGUCCUUUCAGUCUGGUGUGGAAGAAAAGCCAAGAAAGACUAUUCAUGAUCACAUAUCAUCCUCUGGUUUUACUCCCAUUUCAACUGCUGAUGCUUUUGAUUCUAACCAGAAGCCAUGUUCUAGCAUGAUUCAGAAAAAUAUGACUCUUGAUAAACAAGGUGCAAACCAUUAUGCAAUGACAACCUAUACUGUGAAACAUUUUGAUGCAUAUCCGGUCCAUUGCCCCCAGCAAAUAAGGAUAUUCCCCGUCUCCGACGUUCAAAAUCAAAGAAUUACUGCUUCUAUGAGCAGUCCAGUUUUGCAGUCCCAUUUUUCUUCCACUGGGCACAAUGUGGGUGGUCAUUCCAUGAACUCACAAUUUCUUGCAGGAGUUCCAAUCAUAAGCCCUGUAUCUGUUCAUUCCACUCCAAGUUCCAUUGUUGGCACGGCCGAUCUUAGAAAUGGUUCAAAAUCUUCUGGGGCUCCUGCUCAAUUGACCAUUUUCUAUGCUGGUUCUGUGUUUAUUUAUGAUGAUAUUUCUCCUGAGAAGGCUCAGGCUAUCAUGCUGUUAGCUGGAAAUGGGUCUUCAGUAACUCAGAACAAGACAGUCUCCCCAGCUCAAGUGCAAACACCAAUCCGAAGGCCUUCUGCUGGUGAUGAUCUUGUUGGGAACAAAAUCCAUUCAGCAUCUCCAUGCUCAGGUCUUCCAAGCCCCAUUUCUAUAAGCUCUAGUAGCAAUAAUGAAUUGGCAACAGUGAAAUCAAUGAGAGAUUUAGCAUCCAGAAAUAACCAAACAGAACCACCGAAGGCAGUUAGUUCAGUAGGAACUGGUUCUGCAACUCUGAUUCCAGCAGUGGCUGUACCUCAGGCUCGCAAAGCAUCAUUGGCACGGUUUCUGGAGAAGCGCAAGGAAAGGUAUGUAGUAGUCUUUUAAUUUGGUGGAAAUAGUUUGAAUUUUAUAUAGAACCAUCCUUGACUUUUAUGGAUUGGGCUUUUUAAUUUAUUUGCAAUAUGUGGAUGUAUGACAUUGAAAGUUAAGUUUAUGCUUUUAGGAUUUGGAUUGCUUUAGGACAUGAAAUUCUGCUGUCAUGGCAUAAUAUGUAGUUUCAAUUGUGUGUGAACUGAGUUUCUUCUUAACUAGCAUGGUGACUUUCCAUCUUCCAUGAUGGAUAUGUGCUUCAUAGUCCUUUGUACACAUCAAAAAGAUAACAUUGUUGCAUUGAAUAGUGAUUAUACAUGCUGGAAUCCUUCAUUGAAUCCUAAAAGCUGGAAAAAACUUAAUAAAUGUUACCAAAUGCUUAGUGGUGGAUUCAGUUUUACAUAAAUUGUUGAAGAAUCUUUUUGUUCUGGUAAAUGUUGGAAAUGUCUAUUCCUGAUCUCCAUCUACCAAGAUCAGAUAAUUUUGUCAAAAGACUAUCUCUCCUUGAAUAAAGGAAAGGCCUGAGUUCACUGUAGGUGUGGCGUUUGGAGAGUGCCUAUCUUGAGCUUGUUAGGAGAACUAUAAGGGGGAAAAGAAAAAGAAAAAAAAGGAACAAGAAAAGAGGCAGAUGCCACAGAUAUUUUGGCGCUUGAGGAGUUGAUUAUAGUUAAAUGAUGAACUUGUUUAUUUGUUUGUUCUUCAAUUGGUUCCAACUCAAGUUAAUGAUCUUAAAUUUUUCUGUACGCAUUCAGAGUGAUGAAUACAUCGCCACACAACGUAAGCAAGAAAUCCCUAGAUUGCAGUGCCACUGAAUGUGAUGGUGUGAGUUUUAUCCAUCAAUUCUCUAUCUUCUCCCGGCCAUCAAUGAGCAGUCAAGUACACAGAAGAUUCAAAUCCAAUGCCAUGCACUCUACAAUUAUAAAGGAAGAGAGAUCUUCAUCAACGUGUAUUUUUGUUCUUUAAUUGUAAGCUCAAUUCUUUUUACUUAAAACUGUUAGGUUUCCUCAAUGUCUUAGAUAUAUUGUUCUUACUAUCAGUACCAAUUUUUUGAAUUUUAACUUAAAAUAUGUUGUAAGAAGUAUAAUUUUUCACAUGAUGCAUUUUUCCCUUUAUUUCUAUUCAUAGACUACCACAUUCAUAAUGGAACUGUUUUCAUGGAAGAAUUUACUGUGCUGUGCAGGGGAA